GCCAACCAAUCAUAAAUCUUUCUACUGACUUCACCAAGUCAUGAAGAGGACUCAAGACAAGUUGAACUAGGGACACCUAAAUCAGUCAUACUGAUUUCUUAGUUAGCAUGGAUCAACCCCAAUUAUUAAGUGUUGUAAUCAAAACAUGAUUCACCAUGUUGGCCAGAUAAGUGAGAUCGGUGGGAGAGAUAUGCCAUUAACU
rnacentral:lncRNA from 1 species